ACUAUAAAGCCCCUCCCCUUUCCUCGUCACAUCCUCUUUCAAGUUGGUGUCCUCGCUUUAGUGACACAUCUCCACAAGAUGAGAGCAAAGUGGAGGAAGAAGCGUAUGCGCAGGCUGAAGCGUAAAAGGCGAAAGAUGAGGCAGAGGUCUAAGUAGACUGGCCCAUACCCUACAGCUGUUAUCCCUCUCCAAGCCCUCUCUGGUGAUUGAAGUCUGAUGUCCAUGAUGUGCUGAGAGCUGAACAUGGUCAUCUGAAGCCAACAUUGCAAUGGCGUAAAGGACAGAUCCCGGCUACCCAGCCCUUUACUCUGCAAAUGGUCACUGGCUGAUGACUACUGGAGAAUGGCAAAGAAGACUUGAGAAUGAAUCUCCUGUUGAACUCUGGCCUUUUACCAUCUCCCCAGCUGAUUUUUUUGUGAAGACUGUAAUAAAUCUUAGGUUUACUAACUACA